CACAGUCAGACCCCCUUCCUUCCUUCCUCCCCUCCCGCCCGGCAGAGCAGAUUGGAGGCGCUCGGCUCGCAGACACCGGCAGAAGCACAGCACGGCUCCCAGGAGGGCUAACCCAGAGCGCGAGAACAUGGGUACGAAAAACAAACCUCAUCAGUAACCUGUCCACAGAGCCCCAGCGAUGAGCCCGACACCACCCCCCCCUCGCUGCCAGGGCCGCCUGCUCGAAUCCGUCUCCGCCAGCUCAAAGCACCAUCAUCGCUGUGGACACAUUACCAUGAUUUAUAGCUCCCACGGCUGCCGAAAACCAACAGAUCAGCCUGGAUAGAGAGUGUGAGUUUGGGGGGGGGGGGCGGAUGAGCUGUAGGGGGGGAAGCGAGGAUUGGAGAGACCCAGAGAAAAACCCACAGAUGAUGAACUAGUCUGAAGCGCGGAAGAAAACACAAUUUCGUUCCUCUCUGUUUAUUUCUCAAAGUGUACUUCCCUUCCCUAUUUAAGCAGAAGAUUCCCCCGACACAACAGGCCUGGGAUGUUUUUAUUCUGUCCAGACAAAUGUAAAGAUACAUCUGUUCAGAAAUACAGAACCCUAAUCUCCAGCGCAGUUCAGAAGCACUGAAAUCAUCGCGAUUAUUAAAAAAAAAAAAAAAAAAAAAAAAAAAGCACUAAAAGAACCAAAAGAAAAGGAUAAAGAGCCCAGAUGACAUUCGAUUGAAUCAGCGCGGGUCAAAUCUGCUGAGCAAAACGGAAACCAGAAAAACAGCAACAAAACCUGCUACCAGACACAGGGAUUGCAGUCCCCUCUGGAUUAUCAUAGCUAUUUAAAUAAAAAAGUCCAAUUAUUCCCCCCCUCACCGCUGCAAUUCACUGCACAGCUGCUCAGGAGACCCGAAGGCUCAGCGGGCGUCCUCCAAUCCCACGACCGAGCCA